rnacentral:rRNA from 1 species
GAUGAACGCUAGCUACAGGCUUAACACAUGCAAGUCGAGGGGAAACGGCAUUGAGUGCUUGCACUCUUUGGACGUCGACCGGCGCACGGGUGAGUAACGCGUAUCCAACCUUCCCAUUACUGUGGGAUAACCUGCCGAAAGGCAGACUAAUACCGCAUGGUCUUCGAUGACGGCAUCAGAUUUGAAGUAAAGAUUUAUCGGUAACGGAUGGGGAUGCGUGACAUUAGAUAGUAGGCGGGGUAACGGCCCACCUAGUCUACGAUGUCUAGGGGUUCUGAGAGGAAGGUCCCCCACACUGGAACUGAGACACGGUCCAG